AACGAACGCUGGCGGCAGGCCUAACACAUGCAAGUCGAGCGGACCUUUCGGGGUCAGCGGCGGACGGGUGAGUAACGCGUGGGAAUUUGCCCUUCUCUACGGAAUAGUCCUGGGAAACUGGGGGUAAUACCGUAUACGCCCUUUGGGGGAAAGAUUUAUCGGGGAAGGAUUAGCCCGCGUUGGAUUAGGUAGUUGGUGGGGUAAUGGCCUACCAAGCCGACGAUCCAUAGCUGGUUUGAGAGGAUGAUCAGCCACACUGGGACUGAGACACGGCCCAGACUCCUACGGGAGGCAGCAGUGGGGAAUCUUAGACAAUGGGGGCAACCCUGAUCUAGCCAUGCCGCGUGAGUGAUGAAGGCCUUAGGGUUGUAAAGCUCUUUCAGCUGGGAAGAUAAUGACGGUACCAGCAGAAGAAGCCCCGGCUAACUCCGUG
rnacentral:rRNA from 1 species